AGAGUUGUCCUGGCUUAGGACGAACGCUGGCGGCGUGCUUAACACAUGCAAGUCGAACGAGGAUAUACCAGAGGAGAGCUUCGGCAGGAAUCGGGUAUAUUCGAGUGGCGGACGGGUGAGUAACGCGUGAGCAACCUGUCCCAGACAGGGGGAUAACACUUGGAAACAGGUGCUAAUACCGCAUAAGACCACGGUAUCACAUGGUAGUGGGGUAAAAGGAGCAAUCCGGUUUGGGGUGGGCUCGCGUCCGAUUAGAUAGUUGGUGAGGUAACGGCCCACCAAGUCGACGAUCGGUAGCCGACCUGAGAGGGUGAUCGGCCACAUUGGAACUGAGAGACGGUCCAAACUCCUACGGGAGGCAGCAGUGGGGAAUAUUGGGCAAUGGGCGAAAGCCCUGACCCAGCAACGCCGCGUGAGUGAAGAAGGCCUUCGGGUUGUAAAGCUCUGUUAUAGUUGACGAAGGAAGUGACGGUAGGCUAUAAGGAAGCCCCGGCUAACUACGUGCCAGCCGCCGC
rnacentral:rRNA from 1 species